AUCACAUCGGCCUUUUGGCUAUAGAUCAGGUGUAGUAUCUGUUCGUAUCAGUUUAAUAUCUGAUAUGUCCUCUAUCCUUCUAUUCUUGAAAUAAAUUCUGCUUGGUAACUAUU
rnacentral:snRNA from 1 species